AUGUGCUACAACUGUGGAGAUGACCGGCACAUCUCGCGCAACUGCACGAACGAGACGGUCUGUGUCCGAUGCAACCACACUGGCCACAUCAUGCGCGACUGCACGUGGAGGCGGGCCUCGUCGCCGAUGGACAACUGGGCCCUUGUCUGCCCGCCGGCGCGCCUUCAAGCUUCCCCGGAUCUGGCCCGGAAUGUGGAGGAGUUCCUCCCGCUGGCGCCUGCCAUGCCAAGGCGCGCCCUUUCUUCUGAGCGACGCUCUCCCUCGACACUGCCGCCGCCACCCCCAGGCCCUCCUCCGCAGGGGCAAUUAGGGUGCUUCGGCCAUAAAGCCCCAUCCAGAGGUCUGUGUUCGUCGAAAGUUUUCAGGGCCCAGGCUUCUCUGUUCCGUUCGACGGGCAGAACAUGGACGCCCGAUAGGCCCUGA
rnacentral:rRNA from 1 species